rnacentral:rRNA from 1 species
UGGAUCCACACUUUGAUCAUGGCUCAGGACGAACGCUGGCGGCGUGCCUAACACAUGCAAGUCGAACGGAGUGUUGCGCUGAGCGGAAGGUGCUUGCACCGGAAGUUCUUGUAACACUUAGUGGCGGACGGGUGAGUAACGCGUGAGCAACCUGCCUUUCAGAGGGGAAUAACGUUUGGAAACGAACGCUAAUACCGCAUGAGACCACAUCUCCGCAUGGGGGAGCGGUCAAAGGAGCAAUCCGCUGAAAGAUGGGCUCGCGUCCGAUUAGAUAGUUGGCGGGGUAACGGCCCACCAAGUCGACGAUCGGUAGCCGGACUGAGAGGUUGAACGGCCACAUUGGGACUGAGACACGGCCCAGACUCCUACGGGAGGCAGCAGUGAGGGAUAUUGGUCAAUGGGGGAAACCCUGAACCAGCAACGCCGCGUGAGGGAAGACGGUUUUCGGAUUGUAAACCUCUGUCCUCUGUGAAGAUAAUGACGGUAGCAGAGGAGGAAGCUCCGGCUAACUACGUGCCAGCAGCCGCGGUAAUACGUAGGGAGCGAGCGUUGUCCGGAUUUACUGGGUGUAAAGGGUGCGUAGGCGGGUAUGCAAGUCAGAAGUGAAAUGCAUGGGCUUAACCCAUGAACUGCUUUUGAAACUGCGUAUCUUGAGUGAGGUAGGGGUAGGCGGAAUUCCCGGUGUAGCGGUGAAAUGCGUAGAGAUCGGGAGGAACACCAGUGGCGAAGGCGGCCUACUGGGCUUUAACUGACGCUGAAGCACGAAAGCGUGGGUAGCAAACAGGAUUAGAUACCCUGGUAGUCCAUGCUGUAAACGAUGAUUACUAGGUGUGGGGGGACUGACCCCCUCCGUGCCGGAGUUAACACAAUAAGUAAUCCACCUGGGGAGUACGACCGCAAGGUUGCAACUCAAAUGAAUUGACGGA